GUCGAGCGGACAGAAGGGAGCUUGCUCCCGGAUGUUAGCGGCGGACGGGUGAGUAACACGUGGGUAACCUGCCUGUAAGACUGGGAUAACUCCGGGAAACCGGAGCUAAUACCGGAUAGUUCCUUGAACCGCAUGGUUCAAGGAUGAAAGACGGUUUCGGCUGUCACUUACAGAUGGACCCGCGGCGCAUUAGCUAGUUGGUGGGGUAAUGGCUCACCAAGGCGACGAUGCGUAGCCGACCUGAGAGGGUGAUCGGCCACACUGGGACUGAGACACGGCCCAGACUCCUACGGGAGGCAGCAGUAGGGAAUCUUCCGCAAUGGACGAAAGUCUGACGGAGCAACGCCGCGUGAGUGAUGAAGGUUUUCGGAUCGUAAAGCUCUGUUGUUAGGGAAGAACAAGUGCGAGAGUAACUGCUCGCACCUUGACGGUACCUAACCAGAAAGCCACGGCUAACUACGUGCCAGCAGCCGCGGUAAUACGUAGGUGGCAAGCGUUGUCCGGAAUUAUUGGGCGUAAAGGGCUCGCAGGCGGUUUCUUAAGUCUGAUGUGAAAGCCCCCGGCUCAACCGGGGAGGGUCAUUGGAAACUGGGAAACUUGAGUGCAGAAGAGGAGAGUGGAAUUCCACGUGUAGCGGUGAAAUGCGUAGAGAUGUGGAGGAACACCAGUGGCGAAGGCGACUCUCUGGUCUGUAACUGACGCUGAGGAGCGAAAGCGUGGGGAGCGAACAGGAUUAGAUACCCUGGUAGUCCACGCCGUAAACGAUGAGUGCUAAGUGUUAGGGGGUUUCCGCCCCUUAGUGCUGCAGCUAACGCAUUAAGCACUCCGCCUGGGGAGUACGGUCGCAAGACUGAAACUCAA
rnacentral:rRNA from 1 species